rnacentral:tRNA from 1 species
GCCUUCUUGGUGUAGCGGUCAGCGCGCUCGACGUGUAUUCGAGAGGUCUGUGGUUCGAGUCUCGGAGAGGGCA